rnacentral:rRNA from 1 species
AUACGGAGGGUGCGAGCGUUAAUCGGAAUUACUGGGCGUAAAGGGCGCGUAGGCGGAUUGUCAAGUCAGAGGUGAAAGCCCUAGGCUCAACCUGGGAACUGCCUUUGAUACUAACAGUCUAGAGGCCGAGAGAGGAUGGCGGAAUUCCCAGUGUAGAGGUGAAAUUCGUAGAUAUUGGGAAGAACACCAGUGGCGAAGGCGGCCAUCUGGAUCGGUUCUGACGCUAAGGUGCGAAAGCGUGGGGAGCAAACAGGAUUAGAAACCCCAGUAGUCC